rnacentral:rRNA from 1 species
CAGCAGCCACGGUAAUACGUAGGGUGCAAGCGUUAAUCGGAAUUACUGGGCGUAAAGCGAGCGCAGGCGGUUCGCUAAGACAGAUGUGAAAUCCCCGGGCUUAACCUGGGAACUGCAUUUGUGACUGGCGGGCUAGAGUAUGGCAGAGGGGGGUAGAAUUCCACGUGUAGCAGUGAGAUGCGUAGAGAUGUGGAGGAGUACCGGUGGCGAAGGCAGCCCCCUGGGCCAAUACUGACGCCCAUGCACGAAAGCGUGGGGAGCAAACAGGAUUAGAUACCCGCGUAGUCCCUGUCUCUUAUAC